UGAGAAAGCCAGGGGAGCCAAAGGAAGGAGAUCACUGUUCGGAUAUCUGUAACCUCUGGAAAUUGUCUUGGCAGCCACGGCUUAGCCCAGUAAGGUUUUCACGUUUUCUACCUGGACGAUUCCUGACUCCCUUGGCCAGAAUUAUGCGACCGUCUCACCUUUGGUCCAGCAGUAAGACGUGACAUCCCGGUGCCAGAGCCCCCUCCUAGAGCACCCGGCUGUCGGGCGCUGGUGCAGCUGUCUCCCUGCUCCCACUCCUGUCCUCCUCCUGGCUGGAGUGAACUUUUAAAACUGGCUCCUGAAAUUCAGUGACUUAAGAGCCUUGAAUGGCUUCCCAUCAUUAGUCCGAGAACCUGCUGUGUAACAGGCUCUCAGCAAGAACUGACUGACUUGCUGAGGGAACGAGCCUGGUGGAUAAGGAGCCUAAAGACCGAGGGCUUUCCACCUGAUGGACGCCUCUGGCUUGGAUCAGAAGGCAGGCCUGUCUGCUCAGAGGCAGUUGGUGAAUAUGGGGUUUGAAUAAUGUUGAAGGUUUGGAACGAUGCGAUUCUUCUAGAGGAUUGGCGUCUGCACAUUCAUUCCUACAUUCGUUCGUGUCUCCCACCAGCAGAGAAGCAGCCAGCUGGGGAAACAGCACAGGUUUCCAUGCCUGUCCUCACUAACUCCUACUUAUGCUUGAUGACUCAACGGAAGGAUUUGCUCCUCUCUGUCCAUACUUCCCAGUGUUCUUCUACAUGGCGUGUAGCAAUGUGGGGCGCCUCCUCCAGUGCGGAUGUGUCUAGGGUUGCCCACAGCUUACAUAUCCCCAGCCGGCAUAAGCCUUUCAGAAACAGAUGGGGCUGGUCCAUGGUGUAGUGGUUAAGUCCAGCAUGCUCCGCUUUGGUGGCCUGGGGUUUGCAGGUCUGGAUCCUGGGCACGGACCUACACCACUCGUCAAGCCAUGCUGUGGCAGCGACCCACAUACAAAAUAGAGGAAAGUUUGGCAUAGAUGUUAGCUCAGGGCUGAUAUUCCUCAAGCAAAAAAAGGAAGAUUGGCAACGGAUGUUAGCUCAGAGCAAAUCUUCCUUACCCCCUUCCCUCCCCAAAAAGCAAAAAAACCCAGAUAAACUGAUGGCACUUGAAUAGAAUGGGCUCCCAAGAGGUCCCAGCCUGCCCUGGAUGCUUCCAGGAAGAAUAAAUAGCCACGUAAUUCCUGUUCUGCUGCCUGCCUCCUGUUCCAGCCUUCAGGCCCACGUUACAGGAGGAGGGCAGGCAGGUCCUUCUUCCAGGAGAGUGAGCCGUUUCCUGCAC
rnacentral:lncRNA from 1 species